rnacentral:lncRNA from 10 species
AGAUUUUCAUUCUAUAAUAUUUGCCUGAAGUUGACCCAGAGCUUUGAAAUACAGGCAUUCCAAUUCUUCCGGUAAUUGUAAUUUAUUUUUAGCGUUGCAGUCAAAAUUACUUUCUUUCCCCUUAUCAAUAAUUUUUUCACUCAUUCAUUCAUUAAACAAAUACUGAGUACUGACUUGCACCAGCUUCUGUUCUAGAUACUGGAGAUAAAAGAGUAAGUCACAGUCCUUGCCCAAGGAGGUUUAACUUCUAGUGAGGGAAAUAAAUAAUAAAAAUCGUUCAGUAACAGCAGGGCUCGGUGGCUCACUCUAGACUUUUUAAUUAGAAAGAAAAUAUAACACUCCUCAAAGCCAAUAAAACCUAAAGAUAAGGAAAAAAUGCUGCAAAACGACACGGAUGAUUAUAAAAGAAGAAAACAGAAAAAAAAAACAAGAAAUCUGUUUUCUCUGUUAAUUGUGAUCACGUAACCAAUUAAAUCUUGUUUCCCAAUCAACAGAAUAAACACGCAAUCUACAUAAUGUGAGAAAAUACUUGCAAACUAUGCAUCCAAGAAAGGACUAAUAUCUAGAAUCUGUAAGAAACUUAAACAAAUCAAAAAGAAAAAAAAAACCCAUUAAAAAGGGGCGAAUGACAUGAACAGACACUUCUCAAAAGAAGACAUAUAAAUGGCCCACAAACAAGAAAAAAUGCUCUACAUCCUUAAUCAUCACAGAAAUGCAAAUUAAAACCACAAUGAAAUACCAUCUUACACCAAUCAGAAUAGCUAUAAUUAAAAAGUAAAAAAAUAACAGAUGUUGGAGAGGAUGUAGAGAAAAAGGAAUGCUUACACACCAUUGGUGGGAAUGUAAAUUAGUUCAACCUCUAUGGAAAACAGUAUGAAAAUUUCUCAAAUAACUAAAAAUAAAACUACCAUUCUACCCAGCAAUACUACUACUGGGUGUCUAUCCUAAGCAAAAAAAAAUUGUUUGACACCUUGGCUCAGUUUGGUGGCCUGCACCUAUAAUCCCACUCUUUUGGGAGACUGAAGCAAGAAGACUGCUUGAGCCCAGAAGUUUGAGACUAACCUGGGCAAUAUAGCAAGACCUUGUUUCUACAGAAAAUUCAAAAUAAUUAGCCAGGUAUGGUGGCACAUGCCUAUAGUCCCAGCUACUCAGAGGCUGAGGCAAGAAGAUCGCUUGAGCCCAGCAGUUCAAGGUUGCAGUGAGCCAUGAUCACGCCACUACACUCCAGGCUGAAUAACAGAAGGAGACCCUGUCCCCGCCCCACAAAAAAAAACAGGAAACCUGCACUUGUAUGUUCAUUGCAGCACUGCAGCACUACUGGCAAUAGCAAAGUCAUGGAAUCAACCUGUGUUCAUCAACGGUGAACUGGAUAAAGACAAUAUGGUACACAUAAACCACGAAAUACUAUGCAGCCAUAAAAAAAAAAAACAAAACCAAAAUCAUGUCCUUUGCAGCAUCAUGAAUGCAGCUGGAGGCCAUUAAGUGAAUUUAUGCAGAAACAGAAAAUCAAAUACUACAUGUCUAACUUAAAAGUGGGAGCUAAACACUGGGUAUAUAUACACAUAAAGAUGGAAACACUAGACACUGGGACUCCUAAAAGAGGGAGGGAAGCAGGGAGGCGGGACCUGAAAUGUAUAUAUCAGGUACUACAUUCACUAGUUGUGUGAUGGGUUCACUAGAAGCCUAAAUCCCAGCAUCACCCAAUAUACCCAUGUAACGAACCGGCAUCCUCAAACACGUAUCCCCUGAAUCUAAACUUUUUUUAAAAAAAUUGUGUUUCCAUUUUCAAUUUAUACAGACAUUACAGAUAAAAUAUUUCUACCUACAUCAUCCAUUCUAAUACAAGACUAUUCCUAAAUUUGAAAAGCAAGUUUUAGCUUCUCAAAUCACUCACUUUAAUCAAAGUUUUUUUUAUAUUGUAAAGAAUUAUUUCAUUUAUUACCUACCUUGUUUAUAAAAAUUAUUCUAGUUGGUUAGAACCUUUUGGUGGACUUGAGAUUGUUCUUGCUCAUUU